GGGGGGGGGGGGCUAGGAUGAAAUUUGAAAAAAUAGGCAGGACAGGAGUUUUGAGUAAAAAAAAAAGGCAGGAUGAGACACUUGCAAAAAAAAAAAGUCAGGAUGACCAUUUAUGUAAAAAAAAGUCAGGAUAAACUAAAAAAAAAAAAGCAGGACCGAAUAGAGUGAAAAAUAAAAAGGCAGGACAGAGAUUACAACUAAAAAAAAAUGCAGGACAAAAUUUUUCAUCCUAGCCCCCCAAUAAAAAUUAAAUGGUGGCUCCCUAAUUUCCAAAUUGUACACAAGAAACUAAAAUUAAAAUAAUACAAGACUAACAAAGGCCAGAGGCUCCUGACUUGGGACAGGCGCAAAAAUGUGGCGGGG
rnacentral:lncRNA from 1 species